rnacentral:rRNA from 1 species
UAAUACGAAGGGUGCAAGCGUUAUCCGGAUUCAUUGGGUUUAAAGGGUGCGUAGGCGGGGUGGUAAGUCAGUGGUGAAAUCUUGCGGCUUAACCGUAAAAUUGCCAUUGAUACUGCCAUUCUUGAGUACGCUCGACGUAGGCGGAAUGUGCCGUGUAGCGGUGAAAUGCUUAGAUAUGGCACAGAACACCGAUAGUGAAGACAGCUUACGAGGGCGAAACUGACGCUGAGGCACGAAAGCGUGGGGAUCGAACAGGAUUAGAUACCCUGGUAGUCCACGCCGUAAACGAUGAUCACUCGUUAUUGGCGAUAUACGGUCAGUAACCUAGCGAAAGCGUUAAGUGAUCCACCUGGGGAGUACGAUCGCAAGAUUG